rnacentral:rRNA from 1 species
GAACGCCGUAGCAAUACGGAGUGGCAGACGGGUGAGUAACGCGUGGGAACAUACCCCUCGGUUCGGAAUAACUCAGGGAAACUUGAGCUAAUACCGGAUACGUCCAAGGUUUUAAUCGACCUUGGAGAAAGAUUUAUCGCCGGGGGAUUGGCCCGCGUCUGAUUAGCUUGUUGGUGUGGUAAUGGCUCACCAAGGCGACGAUCAGUAGCUGGUCUGAGAGGAUGAUCAGCCACAUUGGGACUGAGACACGGCCCAAACUCCUACGGGAGGCAGCAGUGGGGAAUAUUGGACAAUGGGCGAAAGCCUGAUCCAGCCAUGCCGCGUGAGUGAUGAAGGCCUUAGGGUUGUAAAGCUCUUUCGCUCGGGACGAUAAUGACGGUACCGAGAUAAGAAGCCCCGGCUAACUUCGUGCCAGCAGCCGCGGUAAUACGGAGGGGGCUAGCGUUGUUCGGAAUUACUGGGCGUAAAGCGCGUG